rnacentral:rRNA from 1 species
AUUGAACGCUGGCGGCAGGCCUAACACAUGCAAGUCGAGCGAGCGGCGGACGGGUGAGUAAUGUAUGGGGAUCUGCCUGAUGGAGGGGGAUAACUACUGGAAACUGUAGCUAAUACCGCAUACCAUCAGAUGAACCCAGAUGGGAUUAGCUUUUAGGUGAGGUAACGUCUCACCUAGGCGACGAUCCCUAGCUGGUGUGGGAGGAUGAUCAGCCACACUGGAGCUGGUACACGGCCCAGCGUCCUACGGGAGGCAGACGUGGGGAAUAUUGCACAAUGGGCGCAAGCCUGAUGCAGCCAUGCCGCGUGUAUGACGAAGUCCUUCGGGUUGUAAAGUACUUUCAUUCGGGAGGCGUUACCUACAGAAGAAGCACCGGCUAACUCCGUGCCAGCCGCCGCGGUAAUUC